UACGUAGGGGCCUAGCGUUGUCCGGAAUUAUUGGGCGUAAAGAGCUCGUAGGCGGUUCGGCAAGUCGGAUGUGAAAUCUCCACGCUCAACGUGGAGGGGCCAUUCGAAACUGCCGUGACUCGAGUCCGGUAGGGGAGUGUGGAAUUCCCGGUGUAGCGGUGAAAUGCGCAGAUAUCGGGAGGAACACCAGUAGCGAAGGCGGCACUCUGGGCCAUAACUGACGCUGAGAAGCGAAAGCAUGGGGAGCGAACAGG
rnacentral:rRNA from 1 species